UACGGAGGGAGCUAGCGUUGUUCGGAAUUACUGGGCGUAAAGCGCGCGUAGGCGGCUUUGUAAGUUAGAGGUGAAAGCCCGGGGCUCAACUCCGGAACUGCCUUUAAGACUGCAUCGCUUGAAUCCGGGAGAGGUGAGUGGAAUUCCGAGUGUAGAGGUGAAAUUCGUAGAUAUUCGCAAGAACACCGGUGGCGAAGGCGGCCAACUGGACCAUUACUGACGCUGAGGCGCGAAAGCGUGGGGAGCAAACAGG
rnacentral:rRNA from 1 species